rnacentral:rRNA from 1 species
GACGAACGCUGGCGGCGUGGAUUAGGCAUGCAAGUCGAACGGUAUCAUCCUUUCGGGGGUGAGAGAGUGGCGAACUGGUGAGUAACACGUAGGUUAUCUACCCUCAAGACGGGGACAACCCAGGGAAACUUGGGCUAAUACCGGAUGUGAGCAACUUUUAGUUGUUUGAAAGGUGGCGUAAGCUGUCGCUUGGGGAUGAGCCUGCGUCCUAUUAGUUAGUUGGUGAGGUAACGGCUCACCUAGGCAAUGAUAGGUAGGCGGCCUUAACGGGGUGGUCGCCCACACUGGGAUUGAGAUACGGCCCAGACUCCUACGGGAGGCAGCAGUCGAGAAUAGUCUACAAUGGUCGGAAGACUGAUAGUGCGACGCCGCGUGAACGAUGAAUCCCUUCGGGGUGUAAAGUUCUUUUAUAUGUGAGCAGUGCUUCUUAUAUUAACAGUAUGGGGAAGAGAUAUUAGCAUAUGAAUAAGCAACGGCUAACUCCGUGCCAGCAGCCGCGGUAA